rnacentral:rRNA from 1 species
GACGAACGCUGGCGGCGUGCUUAACACAUGCAAGUCGAACGAAGAGCGAUGGAAGCUUGCUUCUAUCAAUCUUAGUGGCGAACGGGUGAGUAACGCGUAAUCAACCUGCCCUUCAGAGGGGGACAGCAGUUGGAAACGACUGCUAAUACCGCAUACGAUCUAAUCUCGGCAUCGAGGAUAGAUGAAAGGUGGCCUCUACAUGUAAGCUAUCACUGAAGGAGGGGAUUGCGUCUGAUUAGCUAGUUGGAGGGGUAACGGCCCACCAAGGCGAUGAUCAGUAGCCGGUCUGAGAGGAUGAACGGCCACAUUGGGACUGAGACACGGCCCAGACUCCUACGGGAGGCAGCAGUGGGGAAUCUUCCGCAAUGGACGAAAGUCUGACGGAGCAACGCCGCGUGAGUGAUGACGGCCUUCGGGUUGUAAAGCUCUGUUAAUCGGGACGAAAGGCCUUCUUGCGAAUAGUGAGAAGGAUUGACGGUACCGGAAUAGAAAGCCACGGCUAACUACGUG